GCUUGGUUGGCUCAGUCGGUAGAGCAUGUGACUCUUGAUCUCAGGGUUGUAAGUUCGAGCCCCACGUUGGGCA
rnacentral:tRNA from 1 species